rfam:Gossypium raimondii chromosome 10, whole genome shotgun sequence.
AUCCCAUGAUGAGGACACUUAUGAAGUAAUUCCUUGAAUCUUUCCCAUGCCUUGUAUACGGACUCUGCAUCUAAUUGUUGAAAAGUAGUUAUCUCAUUGUGCAACU